rnacentral:rRNA from 1 species
GGCCAAUGUUUGCUUAGUUUUAGUGGCGGACGGGUGAGUAACGCGUGGAUAACCUGCCUCAUACAGGGGGAUAACAGUUAGAAAUGACUGCUAAUACCGCAUAAGCGCACGGAAUCGCAUGUUUCUGUGUGAAAAACUCCGGUGGUAUGAGAUGGAUCCGCGUCUGAUUAGCUAGUUGGCGGGGUAACAGCCCACCAAGGCGACGAUCAGUAGCCGGCCUGAGAGGGUGAACGGCCACAUUGGGACUGAGACACGGCCCAAACUCCUACGGGAGGCAGCAGUGGGGGAUAUUGCACAAUGGGGGAAACCCUGAUGCAGCGACGCCGCGUGAGUGAAGAAGUAUUUCGGUAUGUAAAGCUCUAUCAGCAGGGAAGAUAAUGACGGUACCUGACUAAGAAGCACCGGCUAAAUACGUGCCAGCAGCCGCGGUAAUACGUAUGGUGCAAGCGUUAUCCGGAUUUACUGGGUGUAAAGGGAGCGUAGACGGCAAAGCAAGUCUGAUGUGAAAGCUAUGGGCUCAACCCAUAAACUGCAUUGGAAACUGUUUAGCUAGAGUGUCGGAGAAGUAAGUGGAAUUCCUAGUGUAGCGGUGAAAUGCGUAGAUAUUAGGAGGAACACCGGUGGCGAAGGCGGCUUACUGGACGAUAACUGACGUUGAGGCUCGAAAGCGUGGGGAGCAAACAGGAUUAGAUACCCUGGUAGUCCACGCCGUAAACGAU